GGCAUAACACGGGUGAGGAACGCCACAGAUGCAGUUGGAAUUGUGCUGAAAGAGCUAAAGAGGCAAAGUUCUUUGGGUAUGUUUCACCUCCUAGUGGCCGUGGAUGGAAUCAAUGCUCUUUGGGGAAGAACCACUCUGAAAAGAGAAGAUAAAAGCCCGAUUGCCCCCGAGGAAUUAGCACUUGUUCACAACUUGAGGAAAAUGAUGAAAAAUGAUUGGCAUGGAGGCGCCAUUGUGUCGGCUUUGAGCCAGACUGGGUCUCUCUUUAAGCCCCGGAAAGCCUAUCUGCCCCAGGAGUUGCUGGGAAAGCUCCUACAGAAGAAGGGAAAAAAGAGCUGCUGUUCCUAAGUAACGCGAACCCCUCGCUGCUGGAGCGGCACUGUGCCUACCUCUAAGCCAAGAUCACAGCAUGUGAGGAAGACAGUGGACAUCUGCUUUAUGCUGGACCCAGUAAGAUGAGGAAGUCGGGCAGUACACAGGAAGAGGAGCCAGGCCCUUGUACCUAUGGGAUUGGACAGGACUGCAGUUGGCUCUGGACCUGCAUUAAAAUGGGUUUCACUGUGAAUGCGUGACAAUAAGAUAUUCCCUUGUUCCUAAAACUUUAUAUCAGUUUAUUGGAUGUGGUUUUUCACAUUUAAGAUAAUUAUGGCUCUUUUCCUAAAAAAUAAAAUAUCUUUCUAAA
rnacentral:lncRNA from 1 species